rnacentral:rRNA from 1 species
GAUGAACGCUGGCGGCGUGCCUAAUACAUGCAAGUCGAGCGAACGGACGAGACGCUUGCUUCUCUUUUGUUAGCGACGGACGGGUGAUUAACACGUGGCUGACCUCCCUAUAGGACUUGGAUAACUUCGGGAACCCGAAGCCAAUACCGCAUAUUAUCUUGACCUGCAUGUAUCAAAAGUCACCGUCGGUCUUGUGUUCACUUUUACAUGGCUCCGCGCUUCUUUAGCUACUUGGUACGGUAACGGCUUACCAAUGCAACUCCGCAUAGCCGACCUGACAGGGUGAUCGGCCACACUGGGACUGAGACACGGUCCCGACUCCUACGGGAGGCAGCAGUAGGGAAUCUUCGGCAAUGGGCGAAAACCUAACGGAGCAACGCCGCGUGAGUGAUGAAGGUCUUCGGAUCGUAAACCUCUGUUAUUAGGGAAGAACAUAUGUGUAAGUAGCUGUGCACAUCUUGACGGUACCUAUUCAGAAAGCCACGGCUAACUACGUG